GUGAUUGUAGCUCAGUUGGUAGAGCCCUGGAUUGUGAUUCCAGUUGUCGUGGGUUCGAGCCCCAUCAGUCACC
rfam:Shewanella sp. YQH10 contig3, whole genome shotgun sequence.